UUCUGGCUGACCAGGGCAGUCAACGGCGCUCCAGACAAUGUCUGUCUCCUUCCUCGUCUUCCUCUCCAUGCUCCCAUGGGGUGUCUUGUCACAGGUGCAGCUGCAGGAGUCAGGUCCAGCACUGGUGAAGCCCUCACAGACCCUCUCACUCACCUGUGCCAUCUCUGGGGACAGUGUCUCUAGCAACAGUGCUACUUGGAACUGGAUCAGGCAGUCACCAGGGAGAGGCCUUGAGUGGCUGGGAAGGACAUACUACAGCUCCAAGUGGUAUUAUAACUACGCAGCAUCUCUGCAAAGUCGAAUAACCAUCAACCCAGACACAUCCAAGAACCAGUUCUCCCUGCAGCUGAACUCUGUGACCCUCGAGGACACAGCUGUGUAUUACUGUGCAAGAGACACAGUCAGGGAAAGUCAGUGUGAGCCCAGACACAAACCUCCCUGCAGGGUUGCUCAGGACACCAGAGGGGAUUUAGUACUACCAGCACAGGAUCCGUACCAGGAGCAGGUGCAGAGUUAA